GGAAACAAUGGCUAUUUUGAGGUAAAAAGUAGGCGACUGGGGUUGGGCAUGUAGGGAAAACUGAGGGGGGUAAAAUGCGAGAUUAUCUCUAGGAGAGAGCAGGAACAUCCUGAGGUAAACUGAGGGAAUUGCUGUGGACAGGUGGGUAAAUCUGGGGAUAAAACUUGAGGGAAUCCCCACAGUAGAAAAGAGUAUUUUGAGGCAAAAAUAAGGUACACAGAGGUGGAGAGGUAGGGAAAAUUUCACCUGUAAAAUCUGAGGUGAUCUGUAACAGAGGGCAGGCACUUCAUGGGGCAGACUGAGGUAAUUGGUCAUGGACAGGUAGGGAAAUGAUUGGGCAGGGGAGGGGAAUAAAAAUGGAAAGCAUCCAUAGGGUAAAGAGUGUAAAUACUGAGGUAGAAAUGAGGAAAUAGGUAGUGAACAGGUAGGGAAAAUGUUGGGAGUAAAGCCUGUGGUAAUCUCCAGAGUAGAGAAAGAAUGCUUUCUCGUAAAAAAAUGAGGAAAGCAGAAGGGGACGGACAGGGAAAAUCUGGGGGUAAGAUCUCAAGGGAUCUCCAGGUGAGGGAAUGACUGUUUUGAAGUAUAAUCUCAGGACUCACUGUGUCCUCCUUCCUUGGCAGCAGCUGGUGGGGAAGAGAGAAGAGGCCGCAGGCUGGAGAGGAGCAGGAGAAACCCCCCUGGCAUCACCAGGCCACCUGUGGGGAACAGAACGGACACUUCGGGAGUAAAAAGAGGAAAGGGAUGCACAUCCCUGCCUUCAGCGCACCUCCAGUGGGACCCACCUGAAAAAGCUUUCCAUCACUUCUUCAUCAGCUUCCAGCUGGCUCCCUGAAAAACUCCAAACUUCAUCCAAACACAUUUGUCUAAGCUUUCAUUUUAAGGCAUCUCUGAGAGAAUUGCUGGGGAUUUCAUUUCUGUGAGAGAAAUCCCCUUGGCUUUAGUGCUGCCGAUGGAUGAUGUCCUCAGGCUGGAAGGGGGGAUUUGGGGUGGCCAGGACAUACCUGGCAGCCGCGCAGGAGCUCCGGGAGGUCGGAACUGGGAAUCGCCAUCUGCGCCCCUCUGCGGAUGGCCCGAGCCGCCCGUGCCCAGGCAGUGCCAGCUGCUCCUCGGGGCAUCUCUGGGCUCUCGGUGGCCUCCGUGCGCCGUGAGGCAUCUCCCCGUGCCCGUGCAGAACAGCCCCUGGCUGAGGAGCUCCGGGCAGCCCUUCAGCCGUGCCUGUGCCAGCGCUGUCCGAGCAGCCCGGCGCCCAUCCCUGGGACACGUGUUUGGCACGCUGCGUGCUGUGGGCGGGAUGAUGCAGGCACGGCUCCUUCCCUGCACACCUCAAGGACAAGAAGUGCCGAUUGCCUUUUGGGGGCUGCCGGCCUCCUCCCGCCCCGUGUUCCUGGCUGGCUGGGACCCACAGAAACACCAAGCAACAUCGCCAGCAGCGAGCAGGAGUCACCGAGGGCUCUGUGCAGCUCUGGGCCAGAGAAGCAGCCCCGGCCUUAGACCCCAGCCUUGAUUUUGGGCUGGGAACACUCACCUGCAGGAGACGCCCCUCUGCAGGCGGGACCAGCCCUGACGCUCUCCAGAAGAACUUCAGCCAUGGACCAAGGGAGCCCUCAGGGCUUGUCUUGCUCAUUCCUCCCUGCAAAGAGACACAGCACAAGCACCUUUACAGCCCUCAGGGAAAUGCUGAAAAGGGCAGGAAAUCAGGGUUAUGGGAAGAGCUUUAUGCUGUCACCCAAGCCUUAACCUGUGUUGUUCUACGGUCAGGUGCUGGCUACAGAGCUCUGCCCUGGGACAUUCCAGGGGCUGCUGCGUAAAGCAGCAUCAGCAUCAAAGAAGGAGCUGCAUUGGCAUAGGAAUUCCCUUGCUGGCAUUCCCAUCCCAGGCAUGACACUGCCACAGACCUGAGAUUGGCUUGGUUGGAGCAGAGCACUGAAAAUACCCAGGUUGCACGUUCAAUCCUCAGACGAGGCGUUCAGAGAAGGGUUCAGCUCAGUGCUCCUCUUGUGGCCCUUCCCACUCAAGAUGUGCUUUGGAAAUAAAGAGAAAACAGUUUUCAUGGGCCCUUUAAA